rnacentral:rRNA from 1 species
UGCGGAAGGAUCAUUAAUGAAUUUUAUGGCGGAAUUGUAGCUGGCCCCAACCGGGCAUGUGCACAUUCUGUUCAUUCCAUUCUCAUACACCUCUGUGCACUUUACAUAGGUUUGGUAUAGAAAAGGUCUUUAUUGACUUUGGAAAUACUGACCUAUGCUUUUAUAAACGCUUCAGUUUUAGAAUGUCAUCCGCGUAUAACGCAAUAAAUACAACUUUCAGCAACGGAUCUCUUGGCUCUCGCAUCGAUGAAGAACGCAGCGAAAUGCGAUAAGUAAUGUGAAUUGCAGAAUUCAGUGAAUCAUCGAAUCUUUGAACGCAUCUUGCGCCCUUUGGUAUUCCGAAGGGCAUGCCUGUUUGAGUGUCAUGGUAUUCUCAAUACCCCAAAUCUUUGCGGAUAAGGGUGUGUUGGACUUGGAGGUUUUUGCAGGUAAUGAUUGUAUUACCAGCUCCUCUUAAAUGCAUUAGCAGAGAUAAUACUGCUACUCUCCAGUGUGAUAAUUGUCUACACUGUUAGUAGUGCGGUAUAACAAAAUGUCUAUGCUUCUAAUCGUCUUCGGACAACUUUUGACAAUCUGACCUCAAAUCAGGUAGGACUACCCGCUGAACUUAAGCAUAUCAAUAAGCG